CCGUCAUUCCCAUACUUCAUCCGGUAUGAGCGCCAAAAAUAUUAUCCGUCAAUACCCCGUCUGGCAUGAGAGUGAAUCGGGUCGUCCCCAUACCCCGUCCUGUAUGAGCGCCAAAAAUAUCAUUCCUCGAUACUCCAUUCGAUAUGAGGCAACGUUUACAGUAGGGUUCCCUAUGUACCCGAUCCAUACACCAUCUCGCAAGAUAUCCAGUAAGACUACCAUUUACUAAUUCACGUGACCAAUUAAUUUUCUAUUUGUAUACUAAU
rnacentral:lncRNA from 1 species